UACGUAGGGUGCGAGCGUUAAUCGGAAUUACUGGGCGUAAAGCGUGCGCAGGCGGUUUUGUAAGCCAGAUGUGAAAGCCCCGGGCUUAACCUGGGAAUGGCAUUUGGGACUGCAAGGCUGGAGUGUGGCAGAGGAGACUGAAAUUCCUGGUGUAGCAGUGAAAUGCGUAGAUAUGCGGAGGAACACCGAUGGCGAAGGCAAUCCCCUGGGCCUGCACUGACGCUCAUGCACGAAAGCGUGGGGAGCAAACAGG
rnacentral:rRNA from 1 species